rnacentral:lncRNA from 1 species
GGAAAUCAACUACAGGAGACCACAUAUUGUACCAUUCCACUUGCGGGAAGUGUCCUGAAUAGGCAAAUCCUAGAGACAGAAAGUAGAUUUGUUAUUUCCUCAGGCCUGGGAGGUUUGGAGGGGAACUGGAGUAAUUGCUAAUGGCUUCUUGCGGGGGGUGUGUGUGUGUGAUGAAAUUGUUUUAAAAUUGAUUGUGGUAAUGCUUGCACCUGUGUGUGAUGACACUAAAAGUCAUUGCAUUGUACACGUUUAAAGAGAGAAAUUGAAGGGUGUGGGAAUGAUAUCUCCAUCAACCUGUUAUUUAAAAGAGGCCAAAUGAACUUAUCUAUGAAACAGAAGCAGACUCACAGACAGACACAAAGACUGUGGUUGCCAAGGGGGAAGGGGGAAGGGAGAGAUGGAUUGGGAGUUUGGGGUUGGCAGAUGCAAACUGUUAUAUACGGGACGGUUAAACAACAAGGUCCUACUGUUUAGCACAGGGAACUGUAGUCAACAUCCUCUGAUAAACUAAUGGAAAAGAAUAUGAGAAAGAACACACAUAUAUUUGUAUAUAACUAAAUCACUGUGCUGUACAGCAGAAAUUAACACGACACUGUAACUCAUUAUACUUCAAUAAAAUAAACUAAAAAAAAUAAAAUGAAAGUGGCCCCCAAAAUGGACAGAGUAGGUGUGAGAAGGUGGAAAGGCUGUAAAAAACUCAGAGAUCAAGUCCUUCUCAAAUAGCAUGCCUUGUAAUCAGACAGGAGGCGUUCACUCCGUGUUCGGUGACAUCUUUUUUUUUUUGGUCUUUUUUAUUUUUUAGGGCCACACCCGAGGCAUAUGGAGGUUCCCAGGCUAGGGGUCGAAUCGGAGCUGUAGCCACUGGCCUAUGCCAGAGCCACAGCAACGCGGGAUCCGAGCCACGUCUGCAACCUACACCACAGCUCACGGCAACGCCGGAUCCUUAACCCACUGAGCAAGGCCAGGGACCGAACCCGCAACCUCGUGGUCCCUAGUCGGAUUCGUUAACCACUGUGCCACGACGGGAACUCCCUGCACAUUCAUCUUUUUUUCUGAUGCCCACCUCCAGUCUCCUGAGAAGGUUCCGCAAUGACAGAGACGUGUUCUCAGUGGCUGGUUCUCAAGGUCAGCUCGGCCUGCGCUAGACGGAGGCCUCCUUCCCCGGUGUCCCCUGAAGGCCAUGGUGUCCUCUCUCUGGCUGAAAAAUGAGGGACAGCAGCGGGUCUCUGCUGAUGCUGGACAAAGCAAUUAGUGCAUUUCUCGUGACUAGUUAGUUCGAUUUUUAUGCAGCUUUUCAAGCCCUGGGCACCUCUCAUGCCCUCCAAGUGGAACGUGAGUCAUCCAGGGACCAAGUUUCCCACUGUGUACGUGGUGCUGCUGCCGAGUGUUCUCAGUGCAGGGAAACUGCUGUUCCUCCCUCCCAUGCCCCCACUAGCUGGAUGCAUGUGCCAAUGUUUCCAAGAGUAUCAUCUGCCGGCUCUUUUGUUGUUUCUAAUCAAAGAGCAGACACCCUUUGAUCAUGUCACAUCACAGUAUUAGACUGUAAAUACUUUGUUAGAAAGAUGAAAAUAUUACACUGGUACCACUGUCUCAGAUGUUCUGUGUUUACUGUCACCCUGAACAGGUAAAGGAAAAUGCAUCUGAUCAGAUCAGAUCUAAAAUAUGAAUAUUGCAAAUAUGAAAUGUUCUAGAGCCACGUGUGGUUCACUAUAAUGAGUCCAAUCAAUAAGCAUUUUCAAAAGACCUGCUGGUUUUGAAUGCCAGGUUAUUGGAGACAUCUUCCCUUCCCCACGAGUUUAGAGGUUCUGAGAGCAAGACAGACUUCCUGGUGGUUGGAGGAAGACCUGGCUGUGGUGGGAGCUGAUGGGAACAGAGACUGGCAUCCUUGGGGAACAGAGUCCCUGCGUGGCUGCUUUCAUGGGCAGGCUUCACUCAUCAGGGGCUUGUUUGAGCUUACAGAAUGACUGGCUCCCCUUCAGCCUUUUCAUGGCCUGUCCUCUUUCAUUCUCCCCGUGGGACAACUAAGGUGGGUACCCCCACAAAAUCCAAAUAAUUUCCCAUUCACGGGAAUGUAAAGGCAAAGCAAGUGCUGAAAUGUCUUCCUUCACUUGUUCCUAAAGUUCCCAUUUGCAGUAUUUUUUCGGCACCCAGGGAGGAAGUGGGUAUUGGCUGCCGCGGUUUUGUUGUUCUGGGUCCUCCCUUGGGAAAUCUGGCUGCCCUGGGUCCCCUGUGACAGCGUGGGCAAGGUAUUGUGCCUCGUGCUGGCCUCUGCAGCUGCCCUCACAUCUCACCCCAAGUGUGGAUUUUAUACCUUGGUCCUCCCACUUUCUAAUGUCCAAGGCUGAGUUUUUCCCAACACUGUCCCUGGGACAUGCUCUUCAUGUAAUUUUUCUCAUGCUGACACCAACGUGCCUAAUGCAUUCACACCUCCUCACUUCUGGACUAGAACAUUCCAGGGUGCAAGUAUUGCAUGGGUUAGGAUGCUUCGCUGCAGAAAACUACCAAAGAAGUGGGAGACAGGGACACAGCGGAAUACUGUGGGAUCUGACUGUUUGCUCCUCUGCAGUUCCUUUGGCUCUCCAUCUUGGUGGAUGGGCUUUGUCCUCAAUCUCGCUCACCUUUUGGAGUCAAGAUGACAACGGCAGUCCCUGGCAACACGUUUAGAAAGAGGAAGGGGGUAAUCUCUCCCUCUGGCUUGGUGGAAAGUGAAAACACCUUUCUCAGAAACAUCCUUCUCCCCAGCUGACUACCCCUUCUCUCAUUGGUCACAGUUUUGUCACAUGUUCAUAUGUGAACCAAUCACUGACAAGAAUAGGAUUCCCAUAGUACCCACAGUCCUAUCAUGACCUCCUUCCUGGAGCGGGGAAGGGGCCAGCUUCUCCUGGAAAAGGAGGACACCUGCAUGGAAUAAAUUUCUGUAAAGGAAGAAGCAAGAGUGUCUGCCACGGAUAUGCCAUGAAUGUCCCCAGCCUUUGGGAUGGCUAAGGUCAUCACAAAAAUACUGAGAGUUCUAAGAAACCUGGCCUCUCCCCAGUCAAAAGACUUAUUAUAGUCUAGUUGAGAACUAAACAGUUAGUGAACCCAUGUAACAGUAUUCACUCCCUGAACAACAACAACAAAAAUGUUUCUUCAUCCCUUCCAAGUUAAGGUGACCAACAGCUUUUACUGAUGUGUUGUUUUCACUUGUUAGUGCUUUAUGGUUUGAAGCAUUUUUUUUUACAGUUGUGAGCCAUUUGUUCAAAAAUGGACAGAUUCUUUAGCUCUAAUGAAAAGUAGGACAGCGAGAGCUGAGGGUUUUGAUUCUCCACCGACUUUAACACCCCUGAGCCUGGUGUAAGUUGGAAUUGUUUUAUUAGAAAUUCAGGGAAUAAGAGCAGAUGAUUCCACCACUCCUGGUUGCUAUGGCAAGGAAUUUUUAAAGCUUUGAUUUAUGAGAAAGAGUGAUCAUUAGCAGCCCUUUGUUUUUAAAGUAGAGAGCCCUGCAAACUGAAGGCUGGAGUGGAAUCCAUGACUGGCGCCUCACUGGAGAAAAACCUCAGGUUGUUUACAAAGAAAGGAGAACAGGCAGAAGAAGGCUUUUGGAGAGCAGAGUCCUGCUUGUCAUUUUCAUGUGUAAAGAUCCUUGGCCAAGGAGUCCUGUGACCCAGGUCUGUGCUAGUUCUAUCUCAGCAUUUGUUUCUCCUACGGUCUGGGACCAAUUACGUUAUCAUUUCGUAACUUUUGAAUGCUCCUCUCUAGAAUUAUUAGGUCUGACCAGAUCACCUCUGAGGGUCUUGAAAACUGUUUGAUUUUGUGACUCUGCCUAUUUCCUCUUGCCAGUGUAUUGUGCCUUCAUGGUAUCCCCGAGGGAACAACCCUCCCUCCCCCACCACACACUUCACAUAGCAAUUACCCCUGGCCCCAUUUGUUCCAGGCACCUGUCUGGAAGAUCUACUUGGUGUCUGUCCUGCACUCACAUUUCAGUCCUGAUGUUAAGUAACCCCAGAGAUAUCCCAAGUGUGCUCCUGGCAAGUAUUAAUACAGCCUUUCGGAAUGUGACUCAUAUGAUGAAGAAAUAUAUUUUAUAUCACAAUCCAGCACAUGCAUACACACACACCCACCAUGCACACAUGCAGGCACACGCACGAUUAAAUGCAUACUUAUUGAGUAUUUACCAGAUUCUAAGUGUUAGAUAUAUUAUUGUAGUGAAUGAAAUUCUGGUUCUUAUGGUGUUUCUAAAUACAGAGCAAUAAUAAACCAAAGAAACUGUAAGUAAUAUAUUUAUGAAAUAUAUGCCUCCGUAUUAUAUAUAAUUUUAAUUUAUGUAUUAGGUCAUAAGUUCUAUGGGAAAAAACACAAAGUAGGAAGGGAGAUAGGAAAUCCUGGCGGUAGGGGGGUUCUGAUCGUUAAAUUGAGGGGUCAGCCAAGGCCUUCCUGAGACGAUGACAUUGAGGGUGAGGGGGCCAGGAUGUAGAUAUCCAGGGGAAGAGCAUCCCCGACGGAGGGAAGAGCAGUUACGGGAAUGUGCCUGAUGUGUUCCAGGAACAGAGGUGAUGUCCAGAGGCCUGGGGUGAAUAAGGAGUGAAUAGGACUGAGCUUCAAGUGGGUGGGGUGGGUCAUGGUGGGCUCUGCAGGCUUUCGGAAGGACUUUGGAUUUUACACUGAGAUCGAUUAUCCCUUGAUAAUCGAUAGAUGGAAUCCAGGGUUCUAGGAGAGUGAUUUGGGUUUUAACCGGGAACCGUUCUGGCUGUUAUACUGAGAGGAGCCUAAACACGCAGCCUGUGUCUUUACCCCUUCCUGAGUCAGGUGCUCUGAUGUUUUCUGUUGCCUUCGAAGUCAUUCAUCUAAAGACUGGUUAGGGUCCACAAGUUGACUUCAUUAUAAGGUGGCAACUGGCAGUUUUAAAAACAGAUUGUAGGGAGUUCCUAUUGUGGCACAGCAGAAACCAAUCCGACUAGUAUCCAUGAGGAUGCGGGUUCGAUCCCUGGCCUCCCUCAGUGGUCUGGGAUCUGGCGUUGCGGGGAGCUGUGCUGUAGGUCGCAGACUCGGCUUGGAUCCCGCAUUGCUGUGGCUGUGGUAUAGGCCGGCAGCUGUAGUUCUGGUUCGACCCCUAGCCUGGGAACUCCAUAUGCUGCAGAUGCCGUACUAAAAAGAAAAAAAAAAAAA